CGUUCCCGGGCCUUGUACACACCGCCCGUCACACCACGAAAGUCAGCAACACCCGAAGCCGGUGGCCUAACCCGCAAGGGAGGGAACCGUCGAAGGUGGGGUUGAUGAUUGGGGUG
rnacentral:rRNA from 1 species